GCGGAGGGAUCAUUACCGAGUUUUAGAACUCCCAACCCACUGUGAAUCUUACCUACGUUGCUUCGGCAGGCCUAGCCUGCCGGAGGACAUCCAAACUCUGUUAGUUUCAGGCGUCGUCUGAGUGUAACAUAAAAAAAUGAAUCAAAACUUUCAACAACGGAUCUCUUGGUUCUGGCAUCGAUGAAGAACGCAGCGAAAUGCGAUACGUAAUGUGAAUUGCAGAAUUUAGUGAAUCAUCGAAUCUUUGAACGCACAUUGCGCCCGCCAGCAUUCUGGCGGGCAUGCCUGUUCGAGCGUCAUUUCAACCCUCAAGCCCCCGGGCCUGGUGUUGGCGGACGGACACCCUAGCGGUGUUCCGCCGCCGAAAUGGAUUGGCGGCCGAGGCGUCCGCCUCCCCUGCGUAGUAGCACAGCAGUCUCGCAGAGGGAGCGCGCCGCGGCCACGCCGUAAAACCCCCACUUCUUUAGAGUUGACCUCGGAUCAGGUAGGAAUACCCGCUGAACUUAAGCAUAUCAAUAAGGCGGAGGAA
rnacentral:rRNA from 1 species